UUCUGGUCCUACAGCUACGCUGGUGAAGUGACAGAUCUCCGCGGGAUCUCAGGCCUGCGGACGUUCAGAGUCCUUAGAGCUUUAAAAACCGUGUCUGUGAUCCCGGGGCUGAAGGUCAUCGUGGGGGCCCUGAUCCACUCGGUGAAGAAGCUGGCUGACGUGACCAUUCUCACUGUCUUCUGCCUGAGUGUCUUUGCCCUGGUGGGCCUGCAGCUCUUCAAGGGCAACCUCAAGAACAAAUGUGUCAAGAACUGCACCGUCGUCAAUGAGACAGCCAGUUACUCCUCUCACAAAAAUCGGGAGUGGAAUUACUGCCAAGAGGACCAAGAUUACUAUACCAACAAGGAAGGCACUUCUGAUCCCUUACUCUGUGGCAAUGGAUCUGAUGCAGGGUGAGUGUUCAAGCCAUAACAAAACACCAGUGCCCAGCAGCCCUUUCUCCUUUUUGUCAUCAGUUCUUUCUGGGUGAAGCCUACGUUGAAAGUCCCGAGGAAAAUGUGGAAAUUAAUAAGCCAUGGCCUCUGCCAUCCCAGGUUCAUGGGAAGAGAGUAUAUGAGUAAGCUCUUGUUAUGAAACAAACAUCCCCAAGAUUUUUGUGACUUAAAACACCAGCCAUUUAUUUAGCUCAGUAUUCUGUGCAUCUGCACCUUGGGCUGAGAUCAGCCUGGUGUUCCUCUGACAUUGACUGGACUCAUUCAUGCAUCUGCAGACAAUGGACAGAUUAGCAGGGGUCCAGCUGAUCCAGGAUGGCCUCAGCUUGGGUGUCUUGUCUCUGUUCCUCAUGGUUUCUCACCCCCCAGCAGACUAGCCCAGGCUUUUUCUCCUAUUGGAGGCAGGAUUCCAAGAGAGAGAAUGGAAAUGUGCAAGGUCUCUUGAGGCCUAGGCUUACAACUGGCAUAAUGUCACUUCUACUGCAUCCUGUUGACCCAAGUUGCAAGGCACAAG